UACGUAGGGUGCGAGCGUUGUCCGGAAUUAUUGGGCGUAAAGAGCUCGUAGGCGGUCUGUCGCGUCGAUCGUGAAAACUUGGGGCUUAACCCUGAGCUUGCGGUCGAUACGGGCAUCACUGGAGUUCGGCAGGGGAGACUGGAAUUCCUGGUGUAGCGGUGAAAUGCGCAGAUAUCAGGAGGAACACCGGUGGCGAAGGCGGGUCUCUGGGCCGAUACUGACGCUGAGGCACGAAAGCUAGGGGAGCGAACGGG
rnacentral:rRNA from 1 species